rnacentral:tRNA from 1 species
UUAAUUAAAGCCAAAAAGAGGCAUAUUAUUGUUAAUAAUAAAAUUGAAUUAAAUAUUCUAAUUAAA